UACAGAGGUCUCAAGCGUUGUUCGGAUUCAUUGGGCGUAAAGGGCGCGUAGGCGGCUUGGCAAGUGGAAGGUGAAAUCCCUCGGCUUAACCGAGGAACUGCCCUCCAAACUGCUUCGCUUGAGACCGGGAGAGGUGAGUGGAAUUCCCAGUGUAGCGGUGAAAUGCGUAGAUAUUGGGAGGAACACCAGUGGCGAAGGCGGCUCACUGGACCGGUACUGACGCUGAUGCGCGAAAGCGUGGGGAGCAAACGGGG
rnacentral:rRNA from 1 species